UUGGAAUUCAGUGCUGAGACAGAGACUGGUGAAGUUCUUAACCCGGUCACAGGGUACGUGACAUAUCAAGAGUAAAAUGGAGGAUAAAGUUGAUAUUGGACCACUGAAAAAUGAUGCUGGUGAGGUAGUAAUGGGGGACAAAGAAAUGUUUCUCCACUCCUAGGUAAGGAAUACCCUUAAGGAUUCCGGAGGGCAAGGAGCGGAGUGGCCGGAAUUGAAAAUUGGAGAUUUGGUACUGAUCAGGGAUUGGGAGCAUCCCAAACUUGGACCCCGGUGGAAAUGACCAUUCCAGAUACUACUGCAAACACCGACGGCAGUUAAAGUACAAGGCCAGGAAUGUUGGAUACACCUCAGUGACCAUAAAAGGGCAAUCAACCAUUUAUGGACUCAUUUCUUUAUUGUGUAUUACAAUUGAUUCCUUAGAGGACAACUUGUUUUAUCAAGUACAUAAACAACUGCACAGUAACCAUACUGGUUGUUACCCUUUGGUACUAUCUAUGGAAGCACUGUUUGUAGCUAACCCAUUUGGGCUAACCUGGAAGAGACAUGACCUAAUAGUGGAGGAUAGAUCAGGGGCAGAAUGUAAAGGAAUACCGGGGAAGGUUUUGGAGAGGGACUAGCAUAAAAGGUAUUGAGGGAAUAGGUGAUAAUUAUGCCACAGACCCUGAGUGGUUGGGGACCUUCAAACGGCAUGCAGUGGGGGAUGGGGAAGAGUGGGUACCUAGUCCACGCUGUCGAAGCACCAGGAAAGGGAUGGGGAUGCAUGUUCACCAACAUACUCCAGGAAAUACCUUGCCUGGAGAAACAGUGUUUGUAGGAUAGACAAGGGAAUAUUCUCUUGUGAAUGUAUCAAAAACAAUGCGUGCCCCUCUCUAAGGGAAUUCAGUAUGGAUGUGGGUAUUGUAAUGGGACUCAUGUGUCAGAUGGUUCAGGGACUUUUGAAUACUCCUCCCUGUAUCCUGAGAAGUACUUAUGGUAUGAUAUAAUAGUACUUCGUAAGAAUUCUUGCUAUCGGACUAAGCUCGGAUACUGAUAACUCGAGCCAUGAGUAAGGAAUUCUGUGCUGUCUGGAGGAAUCCUGUAAUCUAUGGGCUCUUCUCUGGGCUAUGGGUUCCUGAGCACUCUCUCUCUAAGGGGCUCGGCAGGAGUCAUAGCUGCAGAGAACCGUAACUACCUCAUUUGUGGGCUAACGGCAUUGGGAAAACAGUACGGUGGAAGGCCUGGAGGCUGUUAACAGGGAAUUGGUGGAGCUACGACUCUACGCAUAGCAAACCAGGUAUGCUGUGGAAUUAUCAGCUGGCCCAGCAGGGAGGGGUCUAUGCCAUAGUCGGAGACAAAUGCAUCACAAUGUAUACAAUGUAAACCCAUGCCAUCCAGUCUAUUAAGAAACAAUUGGAUGAUUUCAGGCAAGGUUCCAAGGAAUGAGAGGGCUGGAUAGGGUGGUUGUUAGGAGGAUCUUGGGGGCUUAUUUACUGCAUGGGUUGAUUGUUCUCAUUGUAAUAAUUAUUGUGUGGUGUUAUAAUGACUUGGCUAAAUGCUGGCUGCAAAAUUUUCAUGGAAAGUCUGUUAAUGCCUUUCUCAAGCCCCAUUUAGUUGGUUAUCAUAACAUGAUAAAAGGGGGGAAUGAUGGUAAAGGGAGAGGUAAAUAGGGGUAUAGAUUAAAAGAGGUUAAAAGACAACGAUUAGCUAAUGAUCAAUUACCUUAUAAGUAGCUUACGUUAGUUGCUGGACAGUCAAAAGGGAACCUUACCCAGCAACAAGUGAAGUACCAGACAUUGUUCCCUAAUAGUGUUAGACAAAGGUCCAAAUAAGGAAUUGUCUGGUCGCACAAAGCAUUUCGAGGUAUAACAUAACUAAAUAGGGGAAGGAUGGCGUGGGGGGUGAUGUAGAACAUUCGAGAGUAGGGGGAGGUGUCAACAUGAGGAACUGAGGUUGUAUCCAGGCUAGCCUUGGCAAAAAAUAAUUAUAACUAACCAAUGAUGAUUUUACAUCUAAUUGUAUCUUAGGAUGUGAUCAAAACUAUUCUAAAACUGUAUUAACUCAUGUAAUUGCAGUAUUUCCUGUAAUGAACAAUGUUAUGAAUUGUGUGGAAUUGUGAUUCGGUGGAGGGUAGCAUCCGGACUGA